rnacentral:rRNA from 1 species
AUAUCAAUAAGCGGAGGAAAAGAAACCAACAGGGAUUGCCCUAGUAACGGCGAGUGAAGCGGCAACAGCUCAAAUUUGAAAUCUGGCCCUCGUGGUCCGAGUUGUAAUUUGUAGAGGAUGCUUUUGGUUAGGUGCCUUCCGAGUGCCCUGGAACGGGCCGCCAUAGAGGGUGAGAGCCCCGUCUGGUUGGACACCGAGCCUCUGUAAAGCUCCUUCGACGAGUCGAGUAGUUUGGGAAUGCUGCUCUAAAUGGGAGGUAUAUGUCUUCUAAAGCUAAAUAUUGGCCAGAGACCGAUAGCGCACAAGUAGAGUGAUCGAAAGAUGAAAAGCACUUUGAAAAGAGGGUUAAAAAGUACGUGAAAUUGUUGAAAGGGAAGCGCUUGUGACCAGACUUGGGCCCGGUCAAUCAUCCAGGGUUCUCCCUGGUGCACUUGGCCGGCCCAGGCCAGCAUCAGUUCGUCGCGGGGGAUAAAGGCGUUGGGAAUGUGGCUCCCCCGGGAGUGUUAUAGCCCUUCGCGCAAUACCCUGCUUUGGACUGAGGUUCGCGCAUCUUGCAAGGAUGCUGGCGUAAUGGUCAUCAGCGACCCGUCUUGAAACACGGACCAAGGAGUCGUCUUCGUAUGCGAGUGUUCGGGUAUCAAACCCCUACGCGUAAUGAAAGUGAACGCAGGUGAGAGCUUCGGCGCAUCAUCGACCGAUCCUGAUGUUCUCGGAUGGAUUUGAGUAAGAGCAUACGGGGCCGGACCCGAAAGAAGGUGAACUAUGCCUGUAUAGGGUGAAGCCAGAGGAAACUCUGGUGGAGGCUCGCAGCGGUUCUGACGUGCAAAUCGAUCGUCAAAUAUGGGCAUGGGGGCGAAAGACUAAUCGAACCUUCUAGUAGCUGGUUUCCGCC